rnacentral:rRNA from 1 species
CCUACGGGAGGCAGCAGUGGGGAAUAUUGGACAAUGGGCGAAAGCCUGAUCCAGCAAUUCCGCGUGUGUGAAGAAGGCCUUCGGGUUGUAAAGCACUUUAGUGGGGGAAGAAACAGCUUGGCCACACCAAGCCUUGACGGUACCCCAAGAAUAAGCACCGGCUAACUCUGUGCCAGCAGCCGCGGUAAUACAGAGGGUGCAAGCGUUAAUCGGAUUUACUGGGCGUAAAGGGUGCGUAGGUGGCUAUUUAAGUCGGAUGUGAAAGCCCGGGGCUCAACCUCGGAAUUGCAUUCGAUACUGAGUGGCUAGAGUUCGGUAGAGGGCGGCGGAAUUUCCGGUGUAGCGGUGAAAUGCGUAGAUAUCGGAAGGAACAUCAAUGGCGAAGGCAGCCGCCUGGGCCUGGACUGACACUGAGGCACGAAAGCGUGGGUAGCAAACAGGAUUAGAUACCCUGGUAGUCCACGCCGUAAACGAUGAGAACUUGACGUUGGUUCGUUUUACGAAUCGGUGUCGCAGCUACGACGAUAAGUUACUCCGCCGUCGGGGAGGUACGGCCGGCCGAGGUUAGGUAAACGUACAAAUAGAAGUUAGUACGGCGUGAGACGUGCCGAACGGACGACGACGAGGGAGGUAGG